AUGGCCCACAUAUCAGAUAUUAAACUGAUAAGAACAGAUACUACACUUGAUCUUAGCCAAAAGGCCGAGAAAGGUAUGCUUCUCUCCGUGGCCCUGGGUCUGCUUAUAUAG
rnacentral:rRNA from 1 species